UACGAAGGGGGGCUAGCGUUGCUCGGAUUGACUGGGCGUAAAGGGCGCGUAGGCGGUUUUGCAUAGUCAGACGUGAAAUUCCUGGGCUUAACCUGGGGGGCUGCGUUUUGAUACAUGCAGGCUUGAGUUCGGAAGAGGGUCGUGGAAUUCCCAGUGUAGAGGUGAAAUUCGUAGAUAUUGGGAAGAACACCGGUGGCGAAGGCGGCGACCUGGUCCGAUACUGACGCUGAGGCGCGAAAGCGUGGGGGAGCGAACAGG
rnacentral:rRNA from 1 species